rnacentral:lncRNA from 1 species
UGGCUGCUGUGAGUUUGUGAUGGAUGUCCCAUGCCUCAUGGCCGUGGUGUAUUCUGUGUGGUGGACACCUUUAUCGCUGAUUCAUAGCCUCAUGGAAGAACAUCCAGCGACUGACAGGAAGCGGGAACACGCGGAAAGAUUAAGGAAAGCAGAGGUGUAAUGAAUAAUUGUGAAAUCUGGGAAUGGAGAGAGAAUACAAUGGUAGAUGUAUCACUUCAACCCUCCGUGAGACGAGGAACUGCCGUCAGAGAAAAAAACAUCCCGAGGAAGGCCGAGACAGAACACGGGCGAGGACUGUUCCGCCUCCUGCCGCCCAUCACCGGACAGGGCACGCCACAGCCGGGCCUCUGUCUACCCUUCAUGCCCCCUGAUUACCCUCAUUAGUCGGCUGCGAGGACUCAUUCCUCCCCUGCGUACUCCCGAGGCACUGGCAGCAGCAGCAGUAGCAGCAGCACCAGCAGCAGCAGCAGCAGCAGCCGAGCGGGGAGUGAAAGCCUGACGCGCGGCGGCCUGUGCCCCUCAGGCGACCCUCGCGAACCAGUUCAGCAAAACUUCAAGACAGGGAUUCGAGCAUCAGUAGAGAGGCAGCAGCGGUAGUGGACUUACAACUGUGGAAGAGGACGAUCGUACGUGCAAGUAGCUGGUGAGAAGGACACCGGCGGACAAAGGUGAAGGUACAGUGGAGAGCAACCUUUUAUGUGAAAU